ensembl:lncRNA
AUUCAUGGAACUCGCAUUUUUAUAACCUAAUGAGAACGUUUGCGAAAUAUUUUGUUUGCUUUUUUAAUACAUUUUUAUUGUUAUUUGCUAUUGUCAUAUUCAAUGUUUUUCUAGGCUAUAAACCGCACAAAGAUCAUGCCAGUAAAGUGCUUUAAAUGGAAAUGGAAUGGAAAGGCAGGUGGAAGUGAACAGGGAGGGAUCUGUCGCCCGUCUGUUCCGGUUCAUUCUCUCUAACUAGCUGUGUGUUUGUGUAACUAACUGAAUGAAGAGCCGCUCACGAGGAAUCCCAAACUUCUUUCUGCAGUUCUCCAUCAGGUCCGGUAGUAAAGAUGAGCGGAGAAGACUCAGACGUUCCUCAGGAUCUGCUGGAGACGCUUUAUUACUAUGGAUGCCCGCUGACUGUGGGAGGGGCCAGUGCAGACUCCGCCCACCACACCUGAGCACGCCUCACCUCAAGCCAAAACAGAUAAAGCCUGUUAUAAUAAGAGAUGUACAGUGGAUGCCGUUCUAUUUCUCAAUACAGGCUUAUAUAUUACAAAAUAUACAAAAUAUAUUUUUUUUUUUUCAGAAGUUGUAAAUAAAACAAGUUAUUGGAGUACAUUUUACAAUUGCAUUUUUCUAAUGUCAAGUUUAAUUCGGUGUGAUGCUUGCCGUUUUUGUGUGUGACUCUGUGUGUGUGAAAUUUCUGAGUGAAUAUUGUUUCUGCACAGGAAUGUUUCUUUCUUACAGGAGUCUCUUCUCGAGAACGAGAUCAUUCCUUGAAGCUGGCUGUAAAAUCAGGAUAUAAUAGGCAUCAAUUUAUCUCUUUAAGAAAUAGAGUAGUGAGAGAAAUAAGGAAAUCUAAAGCUGACUUUUUUAUUACUGCUUUGAAUAGUGCACGUGGAAAUUCUAAAAUAACCUGACAGGUGAGUCCCACAAAAAUAAGACAAAACAAAUGCAAAUUGAAUUAAAUGGAGACAUUUUAACAGAAUCCAAGGUAUUAGCUGAUG